rnacentral:rRNA from 1 species
UAAGCAUAUCAAUAAGCGGAGGAAAAGAAACCAACAGGGAUUGCCUCAGUAACGGCGAGUGAAGCGGCAACAAGCUCAAAUUUGAAAUCUGGCUCCUUGGGGGUCCGAGUUGUAAUUUGGAGAGGAUGCUUCGGGUGCGGCACCGGUCUAAGUCCCUUGGAACAGGGCGUCAUAGAGGGUGAGGAUCCCGUAUGUGACCGGCGACCAAGCCCAUGUGGAGCUCCUUCGACGAGUCGAGUUGUUUGGGAAUGCAGCUCAAAAUGGGUGGUAAAUUUCAUCUAAAGCUAAAUACCGGCCAGAGACCGAUAGCGCACAAGUAGAGUGAUCGAAAGAUGAAAAGCACUUUGGAAAGAGAGUCAAAAAGUACGUGAAAUUGUUGAAAGGGAAGCGCUUGUAACCAGACCUGCCGUCGGGUGCUCCGCGGGCAUUCUUGCCCGUCUACUCUCCCGCGAUCAGGCCAGCAUCGGUUUUGGCGGCCGGAGAAAGACUUGAGGAAUGUAGCUUCGCUUCGGGGAAGUGUUAUAGCCUCUUGUGCAAUACGGCCAGCCGGGACCGAGGACCGCGCUUCGGCUAGGAUGCUGGCGUAAUGGUUGCAAGCGACCCGUCUUGAAACACGGACCAAGGAGUCUAACAUCUAUGCGAGUGUUUGGGUGUCAAACCCAUGCGCGGAAUGAAAGUGAACGGAGGUGGGAACCCUUGAGGGCGCACCAUCGACCGAUCCGGAAGUUUACGGAUGGAUUUGAGUAUGAGCAUAGCUGUUGGGACCCGAAAGAUGGUGAACUAUGCCUGAAUAGGGUGAAGCCAGAGGAAACUCUGGUGGAGGCUCGCAGCGGUUCUGACGUGCAAAUCGAUCGUCAAAUUUGGGUAUAGGGGCGAAAGACUAAUCGAACCAUCUAGUAGCUGGUUCCUGCCGAAGUUUCGUAAGUUCUCCUCAGGACCACCCCCUAAUGAACCCUUGCUAACAAUCUUAAUAGCCUCAGGAUAGCAGUAACGUUUUCAGUUUUAUGAGGUAAAGCGAAUGAUUAGAGGCCUGGGGGAUGAAACAUCCUUCACCUAUUCUCAAACUUUCAAUAUGUAAGAAGUCCUUGUUACUUAGUUGAACGUGGACAUUUGAAUGCACCGUUACUAGUGGGCCAUUUUUGGUAAGCAGAACUGGCGAUGCGGGAUGAACCGAACGUGGGGUUAAGGUGCCGGAAUGUACGCUCAUCAGACACCAAGGGGAAAGACUUGUGGUGUCUCGCCGGGGGAUGGACCCCCCCGGCAUCAGUCUGCGAAAGGCGAGGUCUUUGACCUGUAGGGGUCGGCGGUCGCUCCAGCGAUGGCCUACCCUCUGCUGUCCCGUGAUUGGGGCAGCUCACAGAUCAAGCAAAGGCCGGCGGCCGGGUGCCGUUGGAGAUAUGAUCGGCCCCCGGAGGUUCACUCUGGGGAGCACGUGCAAAAGGUGUUGAUUCAUCUAGACAGCCGGACGGUGGCCAUGGAAGUCGGAAUCCGCUAAGGAGUGUGUAACAACUCACCGGCCGAAUGAAUCAG